GAUGAACGCUGGCGGCGUGCCUAAUACAUGCAAGUCGAGCGAACAGACGAGGAGCUUGCUCCUCUGACGUUAGCGGCGGACGGGUGAGUAACACGUGGAUAACCUACCUAUAAGACUGGGAUAACUUCGGGAAACCGGAGCUAAUACCGGAUAAUAUAUUGAACCGCAUGGUUCAAUAGCGAAAGACGGUUUUGCUGUCACUUAUAGAUGGAUCCGCGCCGCAUUAGCUAGUUGGUAAGGUAACGGCUUACCAAGGCAACGAUGCGUAGCCUACCUGAGAGGGUGAUCGGCCACACUGGAACUGAGACACGGUCCAGACUCCUACGGGAGGCAGCAGUAGGGAAUCUUCCGCAAUGGGCGAAAGCUUGACGGAGCAACGCCGCGUGAGUGAUGAAGGUCUUCGGAUCGUAAAACUCUGUUAUUAGGGAAGAACAAAUGUGUAAGUAACUAUGCACGUCUUGACGGUACCUAAUCAGAAAGCCACGGCUAACUACGUG
rnacentral:rRNA from 1 species